UACGUAGGGUGCGGGCGUUAAUCGGAAUUACUGGGCGUAAAGCGUGCGCAGGCGGCUUUUCAAGUCAGGUGUGAAGUCCCCGGGCUUAACCUGGGAAUGGCGCUUGAAACUGGAAGGCUUGAGUGUGGCAGAGGGGGGUGGAAUUCCACGUGUAGCAGUGAAAUGCGUAGAGAUGUGGAGGAACACCGAUGGCGAAGGCAGCCCCCUGGGCUGACACUGACGCUCAGGCACGAAAGCGUGGGGAGCAAACAGG
rnacentral:rRNA from 1 species